CUGGGGUGUUUUGGUUCACGAUUCUAUUACAUUGUAGUAUCUGUUCAAACAUACUUUCUUAACUUAUUGAAGCACACAGAGUCAACAACGUUUCCAUCGAUCUCAUGAUUUCUACAUGAGAGAAGUCACUACAUGCCAUCUGAGCAGAAAAUGUUUGACUUCUGCAUCGGAUUAUGAGAUGCCAUUUUGCAAGUGAGGUAAAAGUUGUUGUAAAGGCGUGGUGGAGAGGGUAGACGGGGACGAGGCGGAGCAUGAGAUGGGCACUUCAACUUUCGGGGUUAAGUUGUUGUCCUUUCCAUGCACUGCCUCUUCCCUGGCUCUCCUUUCCUCCAUUAUUUUUCCUCUCUAUGUUCAUUCAUAUGCAUCGCCUUCUAUUAUAUUAUUAUUAGAAAAAUGUUCAAGUUAGUAUGUGAACUACA